rnacentral:snRNA from 1 species
GGGCAUGAAAGGAAUUUGACUGGCAGAUUUGUCACCCUGUUGAUUGGCAGGAUGGAUUUGGCUGAUCUUACAGGUUAGGCAGGUGUCCCCUUCUCUCACCACUCGCAUCAUUCCAGAGCUUCAUGUUUGGUGGAAGAGGAUAGCCUUCCCUGAGAGACAGACACUUCCUCAGUGUAUGAAUAGCUGUCCUCCCUGCUAGACCUUCCAAGGAUUCUCAAGAAGCUCUUUCCUUCCCCUUUCACUCGGCUGCUUGACUACCUUUCUCAGUGGCUGAUCAGCUGGUCAUGGGAAGAUCAUGUAUUUUUUUUCCUACAGAG